AUACCUUUCUCGGCCUUUUGGCUAAGAUCAAGUGUAGUAUCUGUUCUUAUCAGUUUAAUAUCUGAUAUGUGAGCCAUUGGUUCACUUGAUAUUAAUCUUAUUUUUUAUGGGGGAAGGCCCGUUUCAAUAGCUUGCUCUUAGGGUCUUUGAGAGUCGCCUUGGUGUUGCACUACAACCUUGGCUUGGCUCACCUCUG